rnacentral:rRNA from 1 species
GAUCCUGGCUCAGGAUGAACGCUGGCGGCGUGCUUAACACAUGCAAGUCGAACGAAGCACUCUAUUUGAUUUUCUUCGGAAAUGAAGAUUUUGUGACUGAGUGGCGGACGGGUGAGUAACGCGUGGGUAACCUGCCUCAUACAGGGGGAUAACAGUUGGAAACGACUGCUAAUACCGCAUAAGCGCACAGGAUCGCAUGAUCCGGUGUGAAAAACUCCGGUGGUAUGAGAUGGACCCGG